UUUCUUCUUUUUUUCUUCUGUAGGUGUAUGGGUAAGGAAGGGACUUUUUAAAAAAUUGGUGGAAGUUUCUGUAGGUGUAUGGGUAAGGAAGGGACUAAUUAGGAACAAAGAGUGGGGUUAGGAGGUAAGUCCAUAUCUUCCUCAGUCAGAGUAAUAUUCAAAUUAGGGAAAAGACAAGUCCUCACUAUAUUUCCUUUACAUUUCCUUAUUUGAGCACACUGUUAAGCGGCUUCUGCUUGUGUUAUCUUUAAUUAACAUUUCCAUUUAAACAGGCUCAGAGGAUUGGCAUGAUCAACACACUGCAAGAAAUGUGUAAUGCUCCACUUGGCAUGAUCAAAGUUAAGUGAAACAGAUAAUUCAUUGGACACUCAAGUACCAUUCCUCCCUUUGGUUGAGGUUUCAGUGAAGGCUUUACUUGUCAUAUCAUCAGUAGCUCUACCUGCAGCUCCAAGUGCAGCGACACGAGUUUUGUUCUGUGCUCAUCAUCCAUACUUGGUUGGAACUGCAAAGAGAGACGCAGUUUGGAAGUUUCUGGUUGAAGGGUUUUGAUCUUUUUUUAAUCAGUUGAAAGCGAUAGACGUGGGUUUUUAUUUUGUGAAAAGGAUGUGGUGUUAUAUGCCUAAACACGUAUAUGUGCAGAGGUUGAUGCAUUGAAGGAGGAAGUGACAACCCUAAAGGGUCAGCUUGCGAUCUAGGAAGAGCAGAUGAGGGCGCAGCUAAGGGCCUAGGACGAGGAGAUGAGGAACUAUGCCGGGACGGUGAGAGACCUUGUACAAGACAUACAGAUGUCCGGCCUCCAAAUCUCGCUACCACCACCUCAUCUUGCUCCACCUUCGACCUCAGAGCCAUCUUGUCGUGCCAAUACCUAGUAGCCUGAUGUAUUAAAAUUAGUUCACUUGUAGUUUUUUCUUUUUUGUUCGAACAUCUUGUAUGUACAUUUUCAUAUAUUUUAUAAUUAAAAUAUAAUUAAAUAAUUUUGCUUGGUUAA